GCUCCCGCGGCCGAACCGCC
rnacentral:siRNA from 1 species